UACGUAGGGUGCGAGCGUUAAUCGGAAUUACUGGGCGUAAAGUGUGCGCAGGCGGCCGCGCAAGUCGAGUGUGAAAUCCCCCGAGCUUAACUUGGGAAUUGCGCUCGAAACUACGUGGCUGGAGUGUGGCAGAGGAAGGUGGAAUUCCACGUGUAGCGGUGAAAUGCGUAGAGAUGUGGAGGAACACCGGUGGCGAAGGCGGCAUCCUGGACCGGCAUUGACGCUGAGGAGCGAAAGCCAGGGGAGCAAACGGG
rnacentral:rRNA from 1 species